ACGGGAGGCAGCAGUAGGGAAUAUUGCACAAUGGGGGAAACCCUGAUGCAGCAACGCCACGUGUGGGAAGAAGCAUUUCGGUGUGUAAACCACUGUCGUGAAGGAAUAAUGCUGGACCUCGGUCCAGUUGAAUGUACUUUGAAAGGAAGCACCGGCAAACUUCGUGCCAGCAGCCGCGGUAAUACGAGGGGUGCAAGCGUUGUUCGGAAUCACUGGGCGUAAAGGGAGCGCAGGCGGAGAUGCAAGCAGUCUGUACAAUACCGGGGCCCAACCCCGGACCUGCAGACUGGACUGUGUCUCUUGGAUAGUUCAGGGGCAGGCGGAAUUCCUGGUGUAGCGGUGGAAUGCGUAGAGAUCAGGAAGAACACCGAUGGCGAAGGCAGCCUGCUGGGGACUCAUCGACGCUGAGGCUCGAAAGUGCGGGUAGCAAACAGGAUUAGAUACCCUGGUA
rnacentral:rRNA from 1 species